rnacentral:rRNA from 1 species
AUGGCGGAUGGCGGCCAAGACAACGAACUUGCUGCUCUCGAGAAAGUGUUGCUCGACGAGAGUGCAGAUCCUGUCGAUCUGCCUUUCUCGCUUCUCAAGGCCAUCACAGGAAACUUCUCUGAAGAUAAUGAAAUUGGCAGCGGCGGGUUUGGAGCGGUUUACAAGGGUGUGCUUCCAAGUGGUCAUACCAUUGCCGUGAAGAAGCUCUUUGAGAGAUUUGAGAUACCGGACAAGAAUUUCGCAAGUGAGAUCGCCUGUCUUGUUGGGGUCAAGCACAAGAACACGGUGCGAUUCCUCGGAUAUUGCUCCAAGACGCAACAUGUGAUGAAGCUGUUUGAGGGGAGGCUUGUCUGGGCAGACGUGCGGCAGAGGUUGCUCUGCUUCGAAUACCUACCCAAAGGGUGCCUUGCUGACUUUCUCUCCGAUGCAUCUUGUCGACACCAGUGGACCACAUGUUACGAAAUAAUAAAGGGGAUGUGUGAGGGAGUACAUUAUCUUCACCAAUAG